rnacentral:rRNA from 1 species
GAUGAACGCUGGCGGCGUGCCUAAUACAUGCAAGUCGAGCGAACAGACGAGGAGCUUGCUCCUCUGACGUUAGCGGCGGACGGGUGAGUAACACGUGGAUAACCUACCUAUAAGACUGGGAUAACUUCGGGAAACCGGAGCUAAUACCGGAUAAUAUAUUGAACCGCAUGGUUCAAUAGUGAAAGACGGUUUUGCUGUCACUUAUAGAUGGAUCCGCGCCGCAUUAGCUAGUUGGUAAGGUAACGGCUUACCAAGGCGACGAUGCGUAGCCGACCUGAGAGGGUGAUAGGCCACACUGGAACUGAGGCACGGUCCAGACUCCUACGGGAGGCAGCAGUAGGGAAUCUUCCGCAAUGGGCGAAAGCCUGACGGAGCAACGCCGCGUGAGUGAUGAAGGUCUUCGGAUCGUAAAACUCUGUUAUUAGGGAAGAACAAAUGUGUAAGUAACUAUGCACGUCUUGACGGUACCUAAUCAGAAAGCCACGGCUAACUACGUG